CCCUUAGAUGUCCUGGGCCGCACGCGUGCUACACUGACGCAUACAGCGAGCACUUUCCAGUUCCGAGAGGCUACUGGUAAUCAUCAAUAUGCGUCGUGAUGGGGAUAGAUCUUUGGAAUUCUGGAUCUUGAACGAGGAAUGCCUAGUAAUCGCAGGUCAUUAGCCUGCGAUGAUUAAGUCCCUGCCCUUUGUACACACCGCCCGUCGCUACUACCGAUUUCGAGUGGUCAGGUGAAUCUUUCGGACUGUGGGCGCCCUUGAGGUGUUCGCGGAAAGUCAGGUAAAUCUCAUCACUUAGAGGAAGUAAAAGUCGUAACA
rnacentral:rRNA from 1 species